AGCCAAGCUCAAACUUAGACGAUGGACGUGACGUGACGCCGCUCACUAAUUUGUAUACAAAUCAAGCAGCAAUGAAUCUAUCGAGAUAAAACAUUGCCGAAUAUUGUGUUUAAAGUAAGCCAACUUGUAACCGAAAAUUGUCAAAAUCGGACUACACCUGUUAUAGUGCCAUGAUAUCAAAUAUGUAAACCAUGAAUACAAACCAAUGUGAAAUGCGAUCAAGCAAAAAUCGAAAGUCAAAUUUUUAGCAACUGCAAUUAUAAAGGUGGGAACACCACAAGGAGCUUUGGAAGAAAGGGCUUUAAUAAACAGAGACUGGUAAAAAAACUCCAAUCUCAUAGGAAGCUGAUCAGAUUUUUGAAACACCAAAAACAAUAUUUGCAACCAAGAUAAGCGGCACCUCAGAAUAAUGCGUAAAGUUUCGUGCCGUAAAGUGGAAAAAAGACCCAGAUUUAAAUGCGAGUUUUCAGCUGAACAAAAAUUUUAGUGUUAUUCAAACUGCAAAGAUUAGGAGACCAAUAAAGAAAUUUGAAAAGAAGCCAUAUACAUAUGUACAUAUAUGGAAAAGUAAAAUACAUACUCAACCAACAAAAUUACAUUGAUGAAGAAAUAGAAGCUGACUUUUAUCCAAAGUUUAUAAACUAAAAUAUUAAAAAAGUUGAGAAAAGAAACAGUGGGUUGGAUUGCAUCUUGUAAUAUCGAAAAAAGAGGGCGAGAUAGUACAGGAGUUUUUUCGGAGUUUUAAUUAGCGCGCAACUAAACUCUAACUAAAAAAAGUUGCGCUCUUCCUUUUGCGACCGCUCAGCUAUGCAGACGUGGUAAGUGUGUUUCCAAUUAUAUUAUAUUUAAAUACAUUUAUUAUAUGAAACCCUUUGUUUUAUUUAACAUUUUGUGGAAUAAUUGCGCCAACCGUUUCC